rnacentral:rRNA from 1 species
GGACAAGCCCUGGAAACGGGGUCUAAUACCGGAUACGAGCCUCCACCGCAUGGUGGGGGUUGGAAAGCUCCGGCGGUGCAGGAUGAGCCCGCGGCCUAUCAGCUUGUUGGUGAGGUAACGGCUCACCAAGGCGACGACGGGUAGCCGGCCUGAGAGGGCGACCGGCCACACUGGGACUGAGACACGGCCCAGACUCCUACGGGAGGCAGCAGUGGGGAAUAUUGCACAAUGGGCGCAAGCCUGAUGCAGCGACGCCGCGUGAGGGAUGACGGCCUUCGGGUUGUAAACCUCUUUCAGCAGGGAAGAAGCGAGAGUGACGGUACCUGCAGAAGAAGCGCCGGCUAACUACGUGCCAGC